rnacentral:rRNA from 1 species
CACGUAGGGUGCGAGCGUUGUCCGGAAUUAUUGGGCGUAAAGAGCUCGUAGGCGGUGUGUCGCGUCGGCCGUGAAAACCUGCAGCUUAACUGUGGGCGUGCGGUCGAUACGGGCAUCACUGGAGUUCGGCAGGGGAGACUGGAAUUCCUGGUGUAGCGGUGAAAUGCGCAGAUAUCAGGAGGAACACCGGUGGCGAAGGCGGGUCUCUGGGCCGAUAUUGACGCUGAGGAGCGAAAGCCAGGGGAGCAAACGGG